rnacentral:lncRNA from 1 species
CAUAAAAGGCUUUUUUCUGACAGACACUGUCUGUUACAACCUGGCCUGUUAAGGAGUAUGUAUGUCUCCUUUGUGGAGUAAUUUAUGCACCAGACAGAUGCUCCAAAUCAUGGCAAUGAUUUGACUGCACCAUUGCAGCUACAAAGAGAAAAAAAAGGAACUUUCACCAGAACUGUUGUUCCUCUUCCAUUGGCCAUCUCCAAGGUUGUUUUUUUUUUUUAAGAAUUUGACUACUAUCCAACCAAUUUCAUAACCACAGAUCAAAACUUCACUAUUCAGCAGCUUUAAAUCAAGAACCAAUGAGACCAGACCCUGGAUAGCUGGUUUGCACAAAUACAGAACCAGUCAAAAACCAUUAACAGGUUGAUCCAUGGAUCUCCUGACAUCAGUGAUUUCCGGAAUUUUCUAAGAAAGGUUUGUGAUUAAAGAGGAUUCUCCAGACAGGAAACCAGAAGAGGAAAAAUGUGUCUAAUUCUACAAGAUGGAUAGAGAAUGGGUUCAGGGACUCGCUGCAGAGACCUACUAAGCCAUCCAUGUGAAUCCAUCUUCCAGUCAGGCAGAUGCCAGGGAGAAGAGAUGAGAACAUCCUGGACAUGUUUUCAAAUAACAUCACAGAACAAAACUGGGUAUUUUUUAUAUACUAUUAGAGGAUCAUUUUGCCUUCACAACCCCGUGCUGUCAGUGAUAAUAUGAAGAAUAUUCCUUAACCUGUUGGAGAAAAAAAUCAAAGACUUGUUUUUUUUCCAGUCUUCACACAUUGUUUGUUCUAAAUGUCAAAUUCAGAGUGAAGUUAAACAAAUCUGUGCCACUUGAGAAAGCAGACAUACUGUUCCUGUAUGGUGUAAUAAAACCAAAAAUAAAGCAACCACUCAUUUGCCAGAAUGUCUCGUUUUAAGAUGCAC